rnacentral:snRNA from 1 species
AAUCCAAUCUGUGUGGAGGAAAGGAGUGACUCCAUGAUGAUGAUGGAGAUUGUCUUCCCAGGAUGUGGUUCACCCAUUGCACUCUGUGUGUGCUGACCCCAGCAAUUUUUCCAAAUAGAGGAAACUUGACUACGUGAUUUGUGAAGUAUAGGGACUGUGUGCACACUCUCCAC